CAGUCGCCGCGGGAAUACAGAGGGUGCGAGCGUUAAUCGGAUUUACUGGGCGUAAAGCGUGCGUAGGCGGCUUCUUAAGUCGGAUGUGAAAUCCCUGAGCUUAACUUAGGAAUUGCAUUCGAUACUGGGAAGCUAGAGUAUGGGAGAGGAUGGUAGAAUUCCAGGUGUAGCGGUGAAAUGCGUAGAGAUCUGGAGGAAUACCGAUGGCGAAGGCAGCCAUCUGGCCUAAUACUGACGCUGAGGUACGAAAGCAUGGGGAGCAAACAGGAUUAGAUACCCUGGUAGUCCCUGUCUCUUAUAC
rnacentral:rRNA from 1 species